GAUGAACGCUAGCGGGAGGCCUAACACAUGCAAGCCGAGCGGUAUUUGUUCUUCGGAACAGAGAGAGCGGCGCACGGGUGCGGAACACGUGUGCAACCUGCCUUUAUCUGGGGGAUAGCCUUUCGAAAGGAAGAUUAAUACCCCAUAAUAUAUUGAGUGGCAUCCUUUGAUAUUGAAAACUCCGGCGGAUAGAGAUGGGCACGCGCAAGAUUAGAUAGUUGGUGAGGUAACGGCUCACCAAGUCAAUGAUCUUUAGGGGGCCUGAGAGGGUGAUCCCCCACACUGGUACUGAGACACGGACCAGACUCCUACGGGAGGCAGCAGUGAGGAAUAUUGGACAAUGGGUUAGCGCCUGAUCCAGCCAUCCCGCGUGAAGGACGACGGCCCUAUGGGUUGUAAACUUCUUUUGUAUAGGGAUAAACCUACUCUCGUGAGAGUAGCUGAAGGUACUAUACGAAUAAGCACCGGCUAACUCCGUG
rnacentral:rRNA from 1 species